UAGGAGGUGGUGUAAUGGAAGCACCAAGAGUUUUGAGUUCUUGAAUAGGGGUUCAAGCCCCCUUCUCCUAA
rnacentral:tRNA from 1 species